rnacentral:rRNA from 1 species
CAGUCGUACCGGCGGAUAAUCAGCCUUUCGGGUGCGAUUCUGUGGGGCGUGAAGAGUUUAACCGCCUUCAUGUUUUGCAUAUUUGUGCUCUUGGGUGUACUUGUCUGUGUGGUAGGUUAACAUCAAUUUCGGUCGGCAUAAAAUGAUUAGAGGAAUGUAGCUUUGAUCUCGUAUCGAAG